rnacentral:tRNA from 7 species
GGGGCUGUCGGCUAGUCUGGUAGGCUGCGAGCCUUGGGCGCUCGCGACUAGGGUUCAAAUCCCUGCAGCCCCA